rnacentral:lncRNA from 1 species
ACAAAAACAAAAACAAAAAACCAGAAAGCCAAGCUGGGCACGGUGGCUCACACCUGUAAUUCCAGCACUUUGGAAGGCUGAGGUGGGCGGAUUACGAGGUGAAGAGUUCGAGACCAGCCUGGCCAACAUGGUGAAACCCCCGUCUCUACUAAGAAUACAAAAAUUAGCCGAGCAUGGUGGCGGGUGCCUGUAAUCCCAGCUACUUGGGAGGGUGAGGCAGGAGAAUUGCUUGAACCCGGGAGGUGGAGGUUGCAGUGAGCCAAGAUCACGCCACUGCACCCCAGCCUGGGCGACAGAGCAAGACUCUUUUCUUGGGGAAAAAAAAAAAAAAACAGAAAGAAAGCUGGGCACGGUGGCUCAUGCCUGUAAUUCCAGCACUUUGGGAGGCUGAGGCGGGUGGAUCACCUGAGGCCAGGAGUUUGAGACCAGCCUGGUCAACAUGGUGGAACCUCAUCUCUACUAAAAAUACAAAAAAAUUAGCUGAGCGUGGUGGCAGGCACCUGUAGUCCCAGCUACUCUGGGAGGCUGAGGCAGGAGAAUGGCUUGAACCCGGGAGACGGAGGGUGCAGUGAGCUGAAAUCACGCCACUGCACUCCAGUCUGGGUGACAAGAGAGAAACUCCGUCUAAAAAAAAAAAAAAAUUGCCAGCCAUGGUGGCACACGCCUGUAGUCCUGGCUAUUUAGGAAGCUGAGGCAGGAGAAUUGCUUGAACCCAGGAGGCAGAGGUUGCAGUGAGCCGAGAUCGCGCCACUGCACUCCAGCCUGGGUGACAGAGCAGGACUCCGUCUUGGGGGGAAAUAAAAAUAGAAAGAAAGAAAGCCGGGCACAGUGGCUCACACCUGUAAUCCCAGCACUUUGGGAGGCCGAGGCGGGUGGAUCACCUGAGGUCAGGAGUUCGAGACCAGCCUGGUCAACAUGGCUAAACCUCAUCUCUACUAAAAAUACAAAAAAUUAGCUGAGCGUGGUGG